rnacentral:rRNA from 1 species
GACAUAGGGGGCAAGCGUUAUCCGGAAUUAUUGGGCGUAAAGGGAGCGUAGGCGGUUAAUUAAGUUAAGUGUGAAAGCCUUGGGCUUAACUCAAGAACUGCACUUAAUACUGGUUGACUAGAGUGUUGGAGAGGUAAGUGGAAUUCCUAGUGUAGCGGUAAAAUGCGUAGAGAUUAGGAGGAACAUCAGUGGCGAAGGCGGCUUACUGGACAACAACUGACGCUGAGGCUCGAAAGCGUGGGGAGCAAACAGG